GAAGGGUGGUGUUAGCAUAGAAGAGGUGAGAUUGAAGAAUCAUAACGAUCCGAAAAAGACUAUGGCAAUUAUAAAACGAAAAGCAAUGAGAGAAUCUUAAUCCCCAAAAAUUCAAAGAUUGAAAAAAAGAAGAAGAGAAAGUCAGUCAAAAAAAGGAGAAUCUAGGAAAAUUGCAACUCCUGUUUCAUCUGAUUAUGAAUCUGAAGAAGAGAAAAUGGAG
rnacentral:lncRNA from 1 species